GACCACUCCUGGGCCACUUCCCCAAGGCCCCGCCCCCCGGUGCCAGUCCAAUCGCAUCUCCCCAGCAGGCCCCGCCCAUGGAAACUCCCAGGGACCACCCCUAGGCCGCUUCCCCAAGGCCCCGCCCCUGCCGCCCCUCGCGCCCUGGUGGCUAGGGGCGCACAUGGGGCCUGGCCAGGUGGGCGACGGCGCGAAUCCGUAGGGUCGUGUCCCCCCAGUCCAGUCCCUGGUACUAAGCCCGGAGCUGCCGGAGGUCAUGCAGCCUUUCCGCGCCCAGGUGAAACCGCCUUUGCAAAAUGAUGACUGAAACAGUGAAAGAGAUCUAACUCAGCCGACUCUAUCUUGCUUCUAACCUCCAAGCUGUCCUUAUUCAUCCCUGCUGGAGUCGUGCAUCUGGAGGCUACAAGAUUCUGACCCUCCCUAAGCUGCCCC
rnacentral:lncRNA from 1 species